ensembl:lncRNA
AAGUUUACUCUGAUUCCAUACAAGUGAAGAAAAAAGAAAAAAAAAAUGCUCUGCAAGGUACUACAGGGGCCUUAAAAAUGGAUUCAAGCCCUGCUAUGAGAGCAAGCCUCACUGUGACUUGUUUUCUUUGCUACCCUGCAGGUUUCUCUUCUGCAGUCAUCCUCAUCUCCCAGCAGCCUUGCUUAGCACUACUGCUGUUUCAGGCUCUAUGUAACUUGUUUCCAGAGACCUUAUCCUUGAAUUUGCCCCUGCCCUUUGAGGAAUUCUGGCUAAAGACACAGGGUAGUUCCUUAUUUUUAGGCCCGUGUUACCCAGGGAUUUCAGCCACCUGUGCAGCUGCAUCACUGUAUCCACGCAAGGAAUUUCCAGUUCAGCAGUGCAGUAUGAUUUGCACUCUCGUUGCUUGACUGAAAGCCUUGGGCCCUUUAUAGCCAAUCUGAGAUCUGUGUAGAGCAGAUUUAUGUCUGCAAAUCUACUAUUGAGAGGACUCCAUAAAAAAAAAAACAACAAAACAAAACCCCAACAACGCAGAACUUGGAAUUGAAGAAGCUACUGAUUGACUGCAGUCAGAAUUCAAGUCACACAUUGAACAUGUGCUGUAGUUUAAGGAAUCCCAUUUUUGCUUGCAUUCCAGACACUUACAGCAAUUAUUUCUUUUAAUAUAGUCAAAAUAAGCCAUCUUGUUAUAAAACUACUAUAUAUACAGAAUUUGUCCAAAUAAAUGUGAAAUAAUGAUUCAAAUACAUUAGUUUUGGCUACACUACGAAGUACAGUGUCUGCAGCUGAAAGUUAAGUGCUGAAAUAUACAUCUCUUAUUUUAACAAGCAACAUGAAGUCAAGACCCAUUUUGUCUGAGAGUUAUAAUUCAUUAAUGAUACUCAAGCAAGACUGAAUAUCCCAUGCCAGUUUCAAGGGGCUUUAUUUUAAGAGCAUAAUUCUCCAAUAUCCUGUGUACAAGGAGGCUGUUUCAUGCAGAGCACAUCCCAAAGAUACAAUUUUCCCUCUGUGUUGCUCUCAAACCAAACCAUCUUGUAAAACCACACUCUUGAGAGCCAGAACAAGCCAUCAGCUGUUAAAACUACUGCUGCUUGUGUACUCAGUAGACCAUUUCUACAUAAUAAAAUGGAUGGUUUUAUGUUUUGC